rnacentral:rRNA from 1 species
UGGGGAAUAUUGCACAAUGGGCGCAAGCCUGAUGCAGCCAUGCCGCGUGUAUGAAGAAGGCCUUCGGGUUGUAAAGUACUUUCAGCGGGGAGGAAGGUGUUGAGGCUAAUAACCUCAGCAAUUGACGUUACCCGCAGAAGAAGCACCGACUAACUCCGUGCCAGCAGCCGCGGUAAUACGGAGGGUGCAAGCGUUAAUCGGAAUUACUGGGCGUAAAGCGCACGCAGGCGGUCUGUCAAGUCGGAUGUGAAAUCCCCGGGCUCAACCUGGGAACUGCAUUCGAAACUGGCAGGCUAGAGUCUUGUAGAGGGGGGUAGAAUUCCAGGUGUAGCGGUGAAAUGCGUAGAGAUCUGGAGGAAUACCGGUGGCGAAGGCGGCCCCCUGGACAAAGACUGACGCUCAGGUGCGAAAGCGUGGGGAGCAAACA